rnacentral:rRNA from 1 species
GCUCAGAUUGAACGCUGGCGGCAGGCCUAACACAUGCAAGUCGAGCGGAGAUGAGGUGCUUGCACCCUAUCUUAGCGGCGGACGGGUGAGUAAUGCUUAGGAAUCUGCCUAUUAGUGGGGGACAACAUUCCGAAAGGAAUGCUAAUACCGCAUACGUCCUACGGGGGAAAGCAGGGGAUCUUCGGACCUUGCGCUAAUAGAUGAGCCUAAGUCGGAUUAGCUAGUUGGUGGGGUAAAGGCCUACCAAGGCGACGAUCUGUAGCGGGUCUGAGAGGAUGAUCCGCCACACUGGGACUGAGACACGGCCCAGACUCCUACGGGAGGCAGCAGUGGGGAAUAUUGGACAAUGGGCGGAAGCCUGAUCCAGCCAUGCCGCGUGUGUGAAGAAGGCCUUUUGGUUGUAAAGCACUUUAAGCGAGGAGGAGGCUACUUAGAUUAAUACUCUAGGAUAGUGGACGUUACUCGCAGAAUAAGCACCGGCUAACUCUGUGCCAGCAGCCGCGGUAAUACAGAGGGUGCGAGCGUUAAUCGGAUUUACUGGGCGUAAAGCGUGCGUAGGCGGCUGAUUAAGUCGGAUGUGAAAUCCCUGAGCUUAACUUAGGAAUUGCAUUCGAUACUGGUCAGCUAGAGUAUGGGAGAGGAUGGUAGAAUUCCAGGUGUAGCGGUGAAAUGCGUAGAGAUCUGGAGGAAUACCGAUGGCGAAGGCAGCCAUCUGGCCUAAUACUGACGCU